rnacentral:pre_miRNA from 1 species
GUGUGCCUUUGUAUGGAUUGUGUUCAGCGCCAGGGACAAGUUUCUUGUGUGGAUGGUGUUCAGCACCAAGGACAGAUGUAUUUGCUU